GGGCAGAGCUGGGAGAGCGGAGCGUCCAGCCUUGGGGCAGCGCCGUGUUUAAACGACCUGCCGGCUUCGCAGGAAAACGGAGAAGGUUCCGAGUCUGAUUUAGCAGCAGUCCGGCGCGUGAGCAUCUCCUCCAUCAGGUCGUUUUUCACCCUUUUCCAAAAGCUGUAACACAGAAACGCACCUUGCCCGUCCUACGGCACUUUGGCUGCUGUGCCUCUCAGUGACCGGCUACGCUCGUUCAGACCUGGGUACCCAGAAGAGAGGCUGCAGCCUGCAGUUACUCCUUGCCGAGGAAGCAGAGUCUGCAGCAGCGCGCGUGAUGAAGAUCUGGACUUUCCCAAAUAGAAGAAGUCUGUGAGGCCAACACGUAUGCAGAGGGCUUUGUGAGGAUUACUAUCUCUCUGCAGGUCUGAAGAUACAGAACAGAUGCUAUUGUUGCUGUAGUUCAUGUGCUUCUUUAGUCCCCAGAAAUGUCAAGGUCACAAACUCGGAAGUCAGAUCUGGCCAAACUUAACACUGCCAGUCGGGGACAAGUCAAUCGUUAUUUCAUAACUGUUACCCAUAAGAGCAAUAUAUUCUCCUUAUUCCUCAAAACCCAUAAAUUAUGAUCUUCGGACUUUUGGAGGUUAACACUAUCACCAGUCACCUUUAUGUGCUUUUGUAUAAACAGAACGAUUAAACCUGAUAGGGCUAUGCCCAUUCGUAGAGUGGUUGGCCACGUAACAGAAUUUAAUAUAUUUUAUUUUGUGUGUGCAUAUAUGCCACAAACGUAAGGGGCAGAUACUUUCCGAAGUUUUGCUUGGUUUUGAUCAGCAGCUGAAAGACAGAGAAAGGAGGUGUCUUUUUAAAUACAGGAAAUCAACAGUUGCCAUUGAAUCAUUAAUUGAUCAGGAAGAGACCGAGUCCUUGUGUGACUAAGACUUGUCCAUUUAUUUCCUGAUUGUGUCACUCAAUCUAAAUGAGAGAUAAGAGAUCCAGUACCUACAGACCUUGCUUUGCUUCUAUCUUUAGACUAUCACAGCUAUAGCAACUCUAUGACUGAUAUCAACAGUCUCUGAGUGUUUCAACUAAUUUAUGCUUUCAAUGGCACCAGGAAUUAAUACAACAAAAUUCACAUAAUGUAACCUGCCUUUUUAUCAAGUUGCUGUUACAGCACUUCCUGGCUACAGUCCAAUUUCAAAUAAAGUUUAUUUCAGAUUUUAAAAAGUGAAUAGCAGAACAUAACAGCUUUUAAAAGAUAAAGUAGAUUACAGGAGAGGAGAGAAGAUUGAAUACUGCAACAAAAGCAAAUAGAGAAGCCUAUGAUAAAGCUUUUUAUGCUUAAGCAGGGUUUCAGAAGAUCCAGAGAUGAUUAAAUUGAUUAUAGAAUGAUGUUUCACUGGAGAGAGAUGAUUAAAUUAAAACUGAGGCAGCAAAGGAAUAAUAAUUGGAAAUCAUUGAUAAUAACUAGUAGUUCUUUUAGACAUGAGAGUACAAAAAGUAAAAUUUCAAGUUUCCAAAGGAGUUAAUUGGCUUGUGAAGAUUAUUCAUAUUUAUUCAUAAGAAUUUUAAAACACAUUUUGUUAGCACGGAUGAGACAUCAUUUUAGUAAAAGCUGCCAGCAAAAGAAUAGAAUUAAAAUAUUUACAUAAUAGUUCAGGCUUAUUGUCUCAGCAGCUACUAUUUAUAAAGUGAAACAUCCGUGCUAAAGCAACUAGUAUAUUUGAAAAUAGAUUAGAACAGUUAGGGAAACCUGUGUUAACAUUAGCAAAACUUACAUAUAACUAAGACCACUCUAAGAUACCAUUGUAGAUUACCCAUAAUCAUCUACAAUAGCAAAUUGGUAAUGAAUAGCAUUAAAAUGUUAUAGAAAAUAAAUCUGGUCCUGCAUAUAUUUUGUUACUUACCAUUUUUAUUUCAAAUUGAAAGGUGGUGGUGAUUUCUGGAAAUGCCCUAUUCAGUUAGCUGUUAGCCUGGACUGAAGCACACAUGCGCUUGCCUUUGCUAGAAAUAGAAAGUCUGCUUAUAAGGUGAGUUAGCUAGCUAGAAAAAGAUAGGUAGAGAUACAUAGCUUCUGAAAACCAUGGAAAAUUAAAAUGCAGGAACAAGUAACUAAAAUGUAUUGAUAAUCAACUCUUUUGGCUUAUACCAUCCCUCCCACUCAACCCACCAUCUCCUUAAACCCAGGGCAGUAUUAAGGGAAAUAAUUGUUCAGUGCAAUUUCAUGAGCUAAGUAUGAAGAAGCAAUAGUUGUUUGUACACAGGAACAUACUAAUACAGUACUUCUCGUACUUCAGUAAACUGGAGAAUAAACCUCAUUAAGUGAAAUGAGUUUUCUGCACUAGUAUCCUAUACAGAAUUAUGAAAAACAAAUAGCAGGGGAGGGGUUUAAACUGGAAGAAGCUUAAAAGUUACAGACAAUACUGCCUUAAAAUAAGUAUAAACAACUUUUGAAUCUCUAAUAAGAUGUUAAACAUUCUGUAACAAGGGAUCAGAAAAUAAACUCCAAUACUACUUUGUAUUUUUAAUCACAGCAUGCAAAUAGAAUGCUAAUAACUCACAUGAGCAAAAAAAUUGCAAGCAAACUAACCACAUCACUGGGUUUUAUUCUAGAUUUAGUUUCUGGGCUCUUACAGCAUUCACAGCUGAGGCGGCACCCUUGUUCUAACCUCCUUUUAUUAAAAAAAGUUUCAAAAAAUAUUGCCUUCAGCAAAGUUGACAGGAAAAUUCCUUUAUAUAGAGGCCCUUGAGAUGAGACGUGGCUAAUCCAAGUUUAAAAUCCAAUUUGUCUGGAAGGCUAUCAAGGCAUAACACAAAUUGUUGUUUCACUAUUUACAGAAAAAGUACCUAUUACUCUAGUUUUAGUCUGGCACAACGAACUGCUCUUUUUUCUUCCAUUAGGGUUUGUUUAAAGCUGCUAAUCAAAGUCCUGAUUAUUAGAAUGUUUACUUUUUCUGAGCUGCUAUAACAUACAUCACAGAAGGAAAAGGAUUUUGAUGGAAACGUAACACUACAGAAAACAGCGUGAAAGUAGGUCCUUAUUUUAUCUCCACGUACUGUGAAGUAGAACUAAACAGUCAAUAUUAAAAAGAGAAGCUUUUCUCAACACAAGUUCUUAUUUUACCAGUUUCUUACCUUUUAUUCCAAAUUAACAUCAUUUUAAUCUCUAUUGUUAAACAUAUUCUACUGCAAGUGAUCAGAGACGCAAUUCAAAUAUUAUUUGUAUUUUAAAACGUAACACAUUCAACAUUUAACUCCUAUCUCCCAUUUUUCUCAAAUGUUAAGUGCAAAAAAUUUUCAGGCCAAAAUGUGUUAAUGUGAGGAGUAGUUUCUUUACAGUGAAGCACAGAACCCAUAUGCAUUAUGGGAGCAAAAGUUUUACUGGGACCAAGGUCAUUUUUUAAAUGAGCAAAACACUGCUAGUGAAACUAGGCAACUCCAGAGUUCUCAAUUCCUACCAAAGUCAAUAAUCUCUAUGAAACUAAGUACAGUUCAUAGGAAAAUUAUUAGAGAAAAUUUCUCAGUGACACUUAGUUCCUUUUAAGCAUAUCAAAAUCCAAUUUAAGGGGAGCUAAAGGGAGAAUUGACGGUAUCCAUAAAGUCAACACUUGACUACAUGGCUAUUAUAAAACUUAUGCCCUAGUUUCAGAGUGAGGAGUACAGUCAUAUAUACAAAAUGCGAUAAACUAUAUUAAAGUAUUUCAGCAUUAAAAGGUUUUAUACUUAGAAAAGCUUAUUUUGUUAAAACAGUUGCAUCUGUGAAUGUACAUUAUUUUGUAAACAACAAAGCUCUUACUGCUGUUCGAAAGUUAAAAUAACACAAAAAACAUUUCAGGCAAACCUAGAAAGCACAUUUUUUUUCCUCCACAACGGACAUUUUGAUUUUGUAGUUUGCUCCUUUCAAACUGAUUCAAUUAAUUCCAUACAUUUCUAUUAAUUGGAAAUCUAACUGAUCCUUGAAAAAGAAUUCAUGCCUUUACAAUCAGACGAAUGAUUAUUUUUCACAGUUGUAUAAAACCUAUAGAACAGCAUUUAAGAAAAAGAAGUAUUACAUAGUAUAUACAUGGUCAUGUUAGAGAGAUACAGUAAUAUAUUCAGGCUUCAAAAUAGUUUCAGAUGAGCCAAUACUGCCCAUUAUUUCCCAAAAGUUGAUUUUUUUUCUAGCCCAGCUAGACUGAGGCAGUCACAGUAAGGUUCUAUUUAUUGUUACCAUCUAAAGGUUUGUACAUAAACUGCUAUUAACACUUAUGGAAGCAUUAAGUAAAAAAAAUUAUGACCAUGUUAGUCUUUAUAGUUACUUUUAAAAAAAUUACAAUCCUCAUUACAAUCCUAACCUUCUGAGAGGUUAGAAUUUUUUUUUAAUGUGAUCUAUAAUGGCCUGAAUAGCUUUUAUUCAUCCCCUCAAUUUCUUAAGUUUUCAAAUUCUUUACAGAGCAAGAGGUAGCAUACAAAUUAAACACAUUACAUGUUAGCAAAUGAUGACUUAACCAGAGGCUGAAUAAAGUGGCAUAAACCGUUAAGAGUCUUGCAGAGAAAAUGGAGACUUCAAAUUUGAAUCAUAGUUAACAUUUACGCAAAACUCCUUCUUAAAAGGUGUUCAUGGUGCAAUCUUCAAAUUUAUACAUCUCCUUCACUACAUAUUUCUCUUACAUUUUUAUUAAUUAUCUCAUAUCAGUUGUGACAUGCAAAGAAGUUCCUUUUAAUAUCUGGAUGAAAACUGAUGACAAAGUAAAACACGCAGGGAGUUAGUUCCAACAAAUGAAAAAUAUUAUUAGCUUUUCUACAUUGCCAUCUAUUUCAGCAGCAGGUACUGCUGUAAAACAGAUGCAUAAUGCGUAUGUAAUUAUGCAGUCUAUUUCAUUGCCCACUAAUGGACUCAUACCACUUUCCUGAACUGGAACUGCAAAAGGUAAAAUGUCAGACUCCAGCAGAGAUACUUUCCAAGGCCUUUCAUGCUAAAUGGGGAAGGGCAACAAAAGAUUAUCACUCAAUUGAAAAUGUGUUUUAAAAAUCACGUUGUUUGAGCCAAAUUUUUAUCAUAUUGGAUUUUAAACUUGUAAUGUUUCCAAAAAUAUCUUCUGCAUCAAAUACAUACAUUUACAUACAUAAAAAAACCAUGAAAAGCAACAUCACUUCCCAGAAUUGAGAAAACACUUCACUACUAUUGAUAGGCUGACUAUAUAUGUGAAUAUUUAUAUCUGAAGCUUAAUUACUAAUUGUGCAACAACUGUAUACAGAGACAUACCAUUACAUUGCCGGUAAGUUGCUGCUCUGUCAAAUAAGAGAAGCCAUCAAUAUCAGGUCUAAAUUAGUUACAAGGUAAAAUGAUUUUGUGAUUGCUAAAUAGGAAAGAUGAGAAUUAUUAGGAAACUUUAUUUUGGGUUGCUAAAAUUUAUUAGAAAAAUGGCAAAAUUUUAUCUGCUAUAGUACCCUUCCAAGAAAAAAUUGCUUGCUAAAAAGCUUUGUUUUCUGAGGUAUUAAAUUGUUUGAUUUUCAUGCAUUCCUCUUAUUACUGAAUGGACUGUAGAAAAUUACGGUAACGUUAAAGAUAUAGUUGGAGCUACUAUUGAAAAAGUUUAUUGCUAACAGAAACAUGAUUCAGGUUUUUCUUCAGUGUAUGCCUAUUUUUAUUAUAAAAAAAGUGUAAAAGUUCAUUAAAUAAGAACUCAGAUAAUCCAUUUGUAGGUACCUAAAAGCUCUGAAAUAAUAUCCAAUACAGAAAAACAGCAAAAAAAAAAAAAA